rnacentral:rRNA from 1 species
ACUAAAUAGAUACCCGGGUAGUCCAGGGUGUAAACGCUGCGGGCUUGGUGUUGGGGGUCCUUAGUGGGCGCCCAGUGCCGGAGAGAAAGUUGUUAAAGCCUGCUGCUUGGGGAGUAUGUCCGCAAGGAUGAAACUUAAAGGAAUUGGCGGGGGAGCACCGCAACGGGAGGAGCGUGCGGUUCAGUUGGAUCCAACGCCGAAAAACUCACCAGGAGCGACGGAUAUAUGAAGGUCAAGCUGAUGACUUUACCUGAUUUUCCGAGAGGUGGUGCAUGGCCGUCGUCAGUUCGUACCGUAAAGGCGUUCUCUUAACGUGAGAUAACGAACGAGACCCUCACCAUUAGUUGCUAGUCUCUUCUCCGGAGGAGGCGCACAUUAAUGGGACCGCUGGCGCUAAGUCAGAGGAAGGAGAGGUCAACGGUAGGUCCGUAUGCCCCGAAUCCCCU